AUUGAACGCUGGCGGCAGGCCUAACACAUGCAAGUCGAACGAGUGGCGGACGGGUGAGUAAUGUCUGGGAAACUGCCUGAUGGAGGGGGAUAACUACUGGAAACGGUAGCUAAUACCGCAUACCAUCAGAUGUGCCCAGAUGGGAUUGGCUGGUGGGGGGGGUAACGGCUCACCAGGGCGACGACCCCUAGCUGGUCUGAGAGGAUGACCAGCCACACGGGAACGGAGACACGGUCCAGACUCCUACGGGAGGAAGCAGGGGGGAAUAUUGCACAAUGGGGGAAAGCCUGAGGCAGCCAUGCCGCGUAGAGGAAGAAGGCCUUCGGGUUGUAAAGUACUUUCAGCGGGGAGGCGGUACCCGAAUAAGAAGCACCGGCUAACUCCGUGCCAGCAGCCGCGGUAAUUC
rnacentral:rRNA from 1 species